rnacentral:rRNA from 1 species
GGCUUAGAAGCAGCCACCCUUUAAAGAAAGCGUAAUAGCUCACUAGUCGAGUCGGCCUGCGCGGAAGAUGUAACGGGGCUAAAACUAUGUGCCGAAGCUGCGGAUUUGACAUUAGUCAAGUGGUAGGGGAGCGUUCUGUAAGCCGAUGAAGGUGURUUGAGAAGYAUGCUGGAGGUAUCAGAAGUGCGAAUGCUGACGUGAGUAACGACAAAACGGGUGAAAAACCCGUUCGCCGAAAGACCAAGGGUUCCAGUCCAACGUUAAUCGGGGCUGGGUGAGUCGACCCCUAAGGCGAGGCCGAAAGGCGUAGUCGAUGGGAAAAUGGUUAAUAUUCCAUUACUUCUGUGUAAUGCGAUGAGAGGACGGAGAAGGCUAAAUCAGCCUGGCGUUGGUUGUCCAGGUGAAAGGAUGUAGGCAUGUAUCUUAGGCAAAUCCGGGGUACUCUAUGCUGAGAUCUGAUAGCAAGCUGUACUUGUACAGCGAAGUGGUUGAUGCCAUGCUUCCAGGAAAAGUCUCUAAGCUUCAGUUACACAGGAAUCGUACCCGAAACCGACACAGGUGGUCAGGUCGAGUAGACCAAGGCGCUUGAGAGAACUCUGCUGAAGGAACUAGGCAAAAUGGUACCGUAACUUCGGGAGAAGGUACGCUGUUGUUGGUGAUGGAACUCGCUUCCUGAGCUGACGACAGCCGCAGAAACCAGGCCGCUGCAACUGUUUAUUAAAAACAUAGCACUCUGCAAACACGAAAGUGGACGUAUAGGGUGUGAUGCCUGCCCGGUGCUGGAAGGUUAAUUGAUGGGGUUAGCGUAAGCGAAGCUCUUGAUCGAAGCCCCAGUAAACGGCGGCCGUAACUAUAACGGUCCUAAGGUAGCGAAAUUCCUUGUCGGGUAAGUUCCGACCUGCACGAAUGGCAUAAUGAUGGCGGCGCUGUCUCCAGCAGAGGCUCAGUGAAAUCGAAAUCGCUGUGAAGAUGCAGUGUACCCGCGGCUAGACGGAAAGACCCCGUGAACCUUUACUGCAGCUUGACACUGAACUUUGACCUUACUUGUGUAGGAUAGGUGGGAGGCUUUGAAGCUGGAACGCUAGUUCCAGUGGAGCCGUCCUUGAAAUACCACCCUGGUAAUGUUGAGGUUCUAACUCUGUCCCGUGAUCCGGGACGAGGACCGUGUCUGGUGGGUAGUUUGACUGGGGCGGUCUCCUCCUAAAGAGUAACGGAGGAGUACGAAGGUGCGCUCAGCGUGGUCGGAAAUCACGCGUAGAGUAUAAAGGCAAAAGCGCGCUUAACUGCGAGACCCACAAGUCGAGCAGGUACGAAAGUAGGUCUUAGUGAUCCGGUGGUUCUGUAUGGAAGGGCCAUCGCUCAACGGAUAAAAGGUACUCUGGGGAUAACAGGCUGAUACCGCCCAAGAGUUCAUAUCGACGGCGGUGUUUGGCACCUCGAUGUCGGCUCAUCUCAUCCUGGGGCUGAAGCAGGUCCCAAGGGUAUGGCUGUUCGCCAUUUAAAGAGGUACGCGAGCUGGGUUUAGAACGUCGUGAGACAGUUCGGUCCCUAUCUACCGUGGGCGCUGGAAAUUUGAGAGGAUCUGCUCCUAGUACGAGAGGACCAGAGUGGACGAACCUCUGGUGUACCGGUUGUGACGCCAGUCGCAUCGCCGGGUAGCUAUGUUCGGAAGGGAUAACCGCUGAAAGCAUCUAAGCGGGAAGCCUACCUCAAGAUAAGAUUUCCCUAGGACUUUAUGUCCUCUAAAGAGCCGUUCGAGACUAGGACGUUGAUAGGUUGGAUGUGGAAGCAUAGUGAUAUGUGAAGCUGAC